UAACUACUCCCUCCGUCCGAAAAUACUUGUCAUCAAAAUGGAUAAAAAGGGAUGUAUCUAAAACUCGUCUAGAUACAUCCCCUUUUGUUCAUUUUGAUAACAAGUAUUUCCGAACGGAGGGAGUAGAUG
rfam:Triticum aestivum genome assembly, contig: Triticum_aestivum_CS42_TGACv1_scaffold_423804_5BS